AGACGAACGCUGGCGGCGGGUCUAACACAUGCAAGUCGAGAGGACGAACCAAGUGCUUGCACUUGGGGAAACCGGCGAACGGGUGAGUAACACGUGAGGAACCUGCCCUGUACACCGGGAUAACUACGGGAAACCGUGGCUAAUACCGGAUGCUCCACCGAGAUCGCAUGAUCGUGGUGGGAAAGCUCAGGCGGUACAGGAGGGCCUCGCAGCGUAUCAGCUAGUUGGUGGGGUAAUGGCCCACCAAGGCUACGACGCGUAGCUGGAGUGAGAGCUCGAACAGCCACACUGGGACUGAGACACGGCCCAGACUCCUACGGGAGGCAGCAGUGGAGAAUCUUGCGCAAUGGGCGAAAGCCUGACGCAGCCACGCCGCGUGUGGGAAGAAGGCCUUCGGGUCGUAAACCGCUUUCAGGAGGGAAGAAGCGAAAGUGACGGUACCUCCAGAAGAAGGCCCGGCUAACUACGUGCCAGCAGCCGCGGUAAUACGUAGGGGCCGAGCGUUGUCCGGAUUUAUUGGGCGUAAAGCGCAUGUAGGCGGCCUUGUAAG
rnacentral:rRNA from 1 species